rnacentral:rRNA from 1 species
CUUACACAUGCAAGUCGAGGGGUAACAGAGAAGAGCUUGCUUUUUUGCUGACGACCGGCGCACGGGUGCGUAACGCGUAUGCAAUCUACCUUUUGCUAAGGGAUAGCCCAGAGAAAUUUGGAUUAAUACCUUAUAGUAUGAUGACUUGGCAUCAAGAUAUCAUUAAAGAUUACGGCAAAAGAUGAGCAUGCGUUCUAUUAGCUAGUUGGUGUGGUAACGGCAUACCAAGGCAACGAUAGAUAGGGGUCCUGAGAGGGAGAUCCCCCACACUGGUACUGAGACACGGACCAGACUCCUACGGCAGGCAGCAGUGAGGAAUAUUGGACAAUGGAGGCAACUCUGAUCCAGCCAUGCCGCGUGCAGGAAGACUGCCCUAUGGGUUGUAAACUGCUUUUAUACAGGAAGAAAUACCUCUACGUGUAGAGAUUUGACGGUACUGUAAGAAUAAGGAUCGGCUAACUCCGUGCCAGCAGCCGCGGUGAUACGGAGGAUCCAAGCGUUAUCCGGAAUCAUUGGGUUUAAAGGGUCCGUAGGUGGAUAAUUAAGUCAGAGGUGAAAUCCUGCAGCU